GACGAACCGAGCGAACGUUGUUCGGAAUCACUGGGCUUAAAGGGCGCGUAGGCGGGCUGCCGCGUCCGGGGUGAAAUCCUCCCGCCCAACGGGAGAACGGCCUCGGAUACGGGCGGCCUCGAGGGGGGUAGGGGCCGGCGGAACUGUGGGUGGAGCGGUGAAAUGCGUUGAGAUCCACAGGAACUCCGGUGGCGAAGGCGGCCGGCUGGACCCCCACUGACGCUGAGGCGCGAAAGCCAGGGGAGCGAACGGG
rnacentral:rRNA from 1 species